rnacentral:rRNA from 1 species
UACGGAGGAUCCAAGCGUUAUCCGGAUUUAUUGGGUUUAAAGGGUGCGUAGGCGGAUUGAUAAGUUAGAGGUGAAAUGUCCGAGCUCAACUCGGGAACUGCCUCUAAUACUGUUGAUCUAGAGAGUAGAUGCGGUAGGCGGAAUGUAUGGUGUAGCGGUGAAAUGCAUAGAGAUCAUACAGAACACCGAUUGCGAAGGCAGCUUACCAAUCUAUAUCUGACGUUGAGGCACGAAAGCGUGGGGAGCAAACAGG